rnacentral:rRNA from 1 species
UACAGAGGGUGCGAGCGUUAAUCGGAAUUACUGGGCGUAAAGUGUGCGCAGGCGGCCGAGCAAGUCGAGUGUGAAAUCCCCGGGCUUAACUUGGGAAUUGCGCUCGAAACUACUUGGCUUGAGUGUGGCAGAGGAAGGUGGAAUUCCACGUGUAGCGGUGAAAUGCGUAGAGAUGUGGAGGAACACCGAUGGCGAAGGCAGCCUUCUGGGCCAACACUGACGCUCAUGCACGAAAGCGUGGGGAGCAGACAGG